rnacentral:rRNA from 1 species
UACGAAGGGGGCUAGCGUUGCUCGGAAUCACUGGGCGUAAAGCGCACGUAGGCGGAUCUUUAAGUCAGGGUGAAAUCCCAAGGCUCAACCUUGGAACUGCCUUUGAUACUGGGGAUCUCGAGUCCGGAAGAGGUGAGUGGAACUGCGAGUGGUAGAGGUGAAAUUCGUAGAUAUUCGCAAGAACACCAGUGGCGAAGGCGGCUCACUGGCCGGUACUGACGCUGAGGUGCGAAAGCGUGGGGA